ACCCAAACCCAGGGCUGCUGACUCCUAGUCCAGUGCUCGUGCUAUGGCUGGGGGGCCCUGAGCUAGGGGUCUGGAGGCCUGGCUUUGAACACCCCGCCAG
rnacentral:pre_miRNA from 10 species